GCGGCCGCUCUCGGCGGCGACAGCCCCGCCGGCGGCCCGGGAAGUGCGGGGGGCUAGCGGCUCCGCGGCCGGCCCGGCCCGGCUUGCUAUCGGUGUUGAACUCUUGUGCGGUCCCAGGGGAGUCCCCCUUCUGGGACACAAUUAUAGAAUGGUUUGAAUUGGAAGGGCGCUUAAAGACCAUCUCAUCCCACCCUCCUGCCAUGGUCAGGGACACUUUCCACCAGAGCAGGUUCCUUCAAGCUCCAUCCAGCCUGGCCUUAGACACUUCGGGGGAUGGGGCAGCCACAGCUUCUCUGGGCAACCUCUGUCAGGGCCUCACCACUCUCACAGGGAGAAAUUUGUUCCUAAUAUCUAAUCUAACCGUGCUUCCUAGUGGUAAGCAACUCUUCUGGAUCCUGUAACUACAUGCUGUCGUAAGUAAAUUGUCCCCGUAAGUUCCCUUCAGGUACUUGAAAGGCCACACUGCCUUCUCUUCACCACUCUUUUCCAGGCUGAACGAUCCCAACUCUGUCAGCCUUUUAUCACAGCAGAAGUGUUCCAUCCCCCCGAUCAUCCUGAUGCCUUGUCUGGAUACUCCAACAGGUCCGUGUUCCUCCUCUGCUGGGACCCCAGAGCUGGAGGCAGAAAGCAUCCAGCAGGCAGCAAAAUGUGUCAAAAGCCUCAUCCCCAACUGAAGGACAACGGAAUCAACCUAUAAAUCAUGGUGCUCUUCAGCAAAAAUGAAUUAAGCUUGCCUUCAGAUUUUGUACCCUGGUCUUGCCAAGUGUGGUAGAUGUGUUUGCUUGGUGGUUUGGUGUGGUUAAACAAAUAUUUAAAAAGUAAAUAUCUAUGCUUAAUUAAGUAUCACUAUUGUUUAUGUUUAAAUAAAAUAUGUUUAAAUUA